rnacentral:rRNA from 1 species
GACGAACCGUGCGAACGUUGUUCGGAAUCACUGGGCUUAAAGGGCGCGUAGGCGGCCUGCCAAGUCCGGGGUGAAAGCCCCCAGCUCAACUGGGGAAGUGCCUCGGAUACUGGCGGACUCGAGGGAGGUAGGGGUCGUGGGAACUUCCGGUGGAGCGGUGAAAUGCGUUGAUAUCGGAAGGAACGCCGGUGGCGAAAGCGCACGACUGGACCUCUUCUGACGCUGAGGCGCGAAAGCCAGGGGAGCAAACGGG